rnacentral:rRNA from 1 species
GAUGAACGCUGGCGGCGUGCUUAACACAUGCAAGUCGAACGAAGCAUUUGCGACAGAUUUUUUCGGAAUGAAGUUGCUUAUGACUGAGUGGCGGACGGGUGAGUAACGCGUGGGUAACCUGCCUUGUACUGGGGGAUAGCAGCUGGAAACGGCUGGUAAUACCGCAUAAGCGCACAAUGUUGCAUGACAUGGUGUGAAAAACUCCGGUGGUAUAAGAUGGACCCGCGUCUGAUUAGCUAGUUGGUGAGAUAACAGCCCACCAAGGCGACGAUCAGUAGCCGACCUGAGAGGGUGACCGGACACAUUGGGACUGAGACACGGCCCAGACUCCUACGGGAGGCAGCAGUGGGGAAUAGUGCACAAUGGAGGAAACUCUGAUGCAGCGACGCCGCGUGAGUGAAGAAGUAAUUCGUUAUGUAAAGCUCUAUCAGCAGGGAAGAUAGUGACGGUACCUGACUAAGAAGCUCCGGCUAAAUACGUG